AUGUACCACUCGUACACUCCGGUUCCUGCGCGCCGUCCGCACCCACCUGGCGACUGCUCGCUACGUUUUGUGAGCC
rnacentral:sRNA from 1 species